rnacentral:rRNA from 1 species
CGAAAGCCUGACGGAGCAAGACCGCGUGAGGGAGGAAGGCUCUUGGGUUGUAAACCUCUUUUCUCAGGGAAGAAGCUCUGACGGUACCUGAGGAAUCAGCCUCGGCUAACUCCGUGCCAGCAGCCGCGGUAAUACGGAGGAGGCAAGCGUUAUUCGGAAUUAUUGGGCGUAAAGCGUCCGCAGGGGGCUCAUCAAGUCUGCUGUCAAAGGUCGGAGCUCAACUCCGGUUCGGCAGUGGAAACUGGUGGGCUAGAGGGCGACAGGGGUAGAGGGAAUUCCCAGUGUAGCGGUGAAAUGCGUAGAGAUCGGGAAGAACAUCGGUGGCGAAAGCGCUCUACUGGACGGCAACUGACACUCAGGGACGAAAGCUAGGGGAGCG